UCUAAGUCUAUAUGAAAAGUUACGGUUUUCCAAAAAAAAAUGCUAUGUAGAACCGGGAUAUCUCGUCUUUUGAAAUGGCGAGAUUAAAGUGUCGUCAAUCCAGUUGGUAGGACAAUUGUAUUUUUGCUAAAAAAGAAUAAAAAACUGCCAUAAAAGAUUUUAUUUAAUAACUGGCUUUAGUUCUAAGCUGAUUUUAACAUGGUCUUUAUCAUAUUUGCUUGUCGUAAUAAAUCAGUAAACAGUACUUUCAGCCAUUAUCAAAAUUCUUUGGCGGAUCCUUCAUUUGCUGACUAUAGUUACGUGUCUCAGCCUAUACCAUCCAAACUCAAUUCAUGGUGGGACGUACUCCUACACAUGCACAAAUUGAAGUACAGUACACAACACGAUAAGCGGUGAAGCAUCGUCAAUGCAUCACCAGUUCACCACCAAUAAUAUACUCUACGAUCAAUUGAUGCCACUACCCGCCGAUCUUCCGGUGCGGUGCGAAAGCCGGUGCAGCUGUGGCGGUGACGGGACAUCCUAUUCCUCUACACACCGGCGCUGGCGGGACAUCACAUGCGUGCAUGGUGCCACCUUGUGGCGCCGGCGGCGCCUCUCCCUGAUGGCCUCCGUCCAGAUGAGCUGCAGUUGCAUCGGCAAGCAUGGGUUUUCCAUCGUCAAUUUGUCAUCAUCAACAACUUCUAAUAAAUUUCAUAGCUAAAGCCUUGUUUGGUUGGGCAUAGUAAACUUUACCACAUAUCACAUCGAAUAUAUAGACAUAUACAUAGAGUACUAAAUAUAUAUUAUUUAUAAAACUAAAAACACGGCUAGAAGUAAUUUUAUUUGUGAGACAAAUCUUUUGAGUCUAAUUAGUCCAUGAUUGGAAACUAAUUGUAAAAUAAAACGAAAAUGCUACAGUAUUUGUUAAACUUUAACAACCCCAAAGAUCGAGCUCAUCUGUUUAGUUCUUAGAAAUUCUGCAAAAAAUUUUAAGAUUCUCCGUCACAUCAAAUUUUAUGACACAUGAUGAAGUAUUAAAUAUAGAUAAAAAUAACUAAUUACACAGUUUACAUGUAAUUUGUGAGAUGAAUCUUUUGAGCAUAGUUAAUCCAUAAUCAGAAAAUAAUUGUCAAAUACAAACGAAAGUGAUACAAUAGUCAUUUUAUAUUUUUUUUUUGUUACUAAACAGUUUGAAUAUAGAAGAGCAGCAAAGUAAUCAUUGCGUACCAGAGGCUGAUUGGGCGUCCGACGAGCAGCGGAUGAAGGAGCAAGACAUGGCGAUGGCCAGUGUCAUCGCUACCGCGUAGUACGUCACUGGUAACGAAGAGAGGCAACGAGACAACUUCUUCAUGGUUCAAAGUAACCAAAAUAUCAGG
rnacentral:lncRNA from 1 species